rnacentral:tRNA from 1 species
UUGUAGCGUAAUGGAUAACGCACCAGACUUCUAUUGUGUUAUCUGGGGAUUGCGGGUUCGAGUCCCGUCA